CCUUGGGGAAGAUGGUCCUCCGGCCACAGAAAGUCCUAAGGCAGAAGAGACAGGUGUUUGAGAAGGCUUCAAGUGAGAAGACAUUUAGAUCCAGAGACAAACACACAAAGAAGCAAGACAACGUGAAGACUCCGGGAGAAUGCCAUCUCCAAGCCAAAGAACACUUGAGCACAGACCCUCCCUCAGAGCCCUCAGAAGAAACCAACACUGCUGACAUCUUGAUCCCAGACUUCAGCCUCCUGAAUGUGAGACGGUAAAUCUCUUGUUAUUUAAACUGC